rnacentral:antisense_RNA from 1 species
CGCGCGCCCUCGCCGGGCGCCGGGACCGGAAAAUCACCGCGAAGGGAGGGACGAGGAAAGGCGGCGGGCGGCUUCAGGACAAGCUGUGAGAUAUCAGUGGGCAAGGAUGUGACGCCUGAAGAUGUGGCAUCUACCUUGAAACAGCCAAGGACCUGAGGACGAAGCCAGCAUCUGAGGAAAACAGACAGAAAGGAUCUGGAUACAUGAUGAGCCUGAAAAGUAUCUUGCAUACACAACUGGUGGCACAGAAUCCUGACAAACCUCUCAUCAGAAGUCAACCACAGGCUCUCUAUGCUCUUACCAAAACGCUGGCUUUGAGAAAUAAUUAUGAAUGAAAAUUACUGAUGUGAUUUUCAGUCUAGGGAAGAAUAUCAAGUUAAACUUUAUGAAGUCCAAGACAAUGGGAAAAGAAGAGGUAUUCCUGUCCAGGCCCUCUUCCAGUUAGAAGGUGAUGGUUUCCAGAAGUCUGCACCUGUAUUUCAAUUACCUAUAUGGAGUUUAUAGGACUAAACUAUAUUCACUG